UACGUAGGUGGCGAGCGUUGUCCGGAAUUACUGGGCGUAAAGGGUGCGUAGGCGGAAUCUGAAGUCAGAUGUGAAAAUCCCGGGCUCAACCUGGGAACUGCAUUUGAAACUGGGGUUCUAGAGUGCAGGAGAGGAAAGCGGAAUUCCUAGUGUAGCGGUGAAAUGCGUAGAUAUUAGGAAGAACACCAGUGGCGAAGGCGGCUUUCUGGACUGUAACUGACGCUGAGGCACGAAAGCGUGGGGAGCAAACAGG
rnacentral:misc_RNA from 1 species